GGAAAUGUGCCUGAGAAUUAAGGACCACUGUGAUAAAGUGGACACAGAGGUAUAUCAACCCUCUCAUUUCCU
rnacentral:tRNA from 1 species